ACGAUUUCGGUUUACACCGUUUUCUACCUAUGUCUACGCGUACCACAUGUUUCCUCGGGGGGCUUGCUCCCCGUUAGGACUCUUUAUCAACCUUUUUGCAAUAGCAGUCAGCGUCUGAUAAUAAUUUAAUUAUUA
rnacentral:misc_RNA from 1 species